ACGUGUAGCAGYGAAAUGCGUAGAGAUGUGGAGGAACACCGAUGGCGAAGGCAGCCCCCUGGGCCUGUACUGACGCUCAUGCACGAAAGCGUGGGGAGCAAACAGSAUUAGAUACCCUGGUAGUCCACGCCCUAAWCGAUGUCAWCUAGUUGUUCGUAGAGGUAACUCUGUGAGUAACGCAGCUAACGCGUGAAGUUGACCGCCUGGGGAGUACGGCCGCAAGGUUAAAACUCAAAGGAAUUGACGGGGACCCGCACAASCGGUGGAUGAUGUGGAUUAAUUCGAUGCAACGCGAAAAACCUUACCUACCCUUGACAUSCCUGGAAUCUUGCUGAGAGGCGAGAGUGCCUUCGGGAACCAGSACACAGSUGCUGCAUGGCUGUCGUCAGCUCGUGUCGUGAGAUGUUGGGUUAAGUCCCGCAACGAGCGCAACCCUUGUCAUUAAUUGCCAUCAUUAAGUUGGGCACYUUAAUGAGACUGCCGGUGACAAMCCGGAGGAAGGUGGGGAUGACGUCAAGUCCUCAUGGCCCUUAUGGGUAGGGCUUCACACGUCAUMCAAUGGUCGGUACAGAGGGUUGCCAASCCGCGAGGUGGAGCUAAUCCYUUAAAGCCGAUCGUAGUCCGGAUCGUAGUCUKCAACUCGWCUGCGUGAAGUCGGAAUCGCUAGUAAUCGCAGAUCAGCAUSCUGCGGUGAAUACGUUCCCGGGUCUUGUACACMCCGCCCGUCACMCCAUSGGAGUGGGU
rnacentral:rRNA from 1 species